rnacentral:rRNA from 1 species
UGCCAGACUCCUACGGGAGGCAGCAGUGGGGGAUAUUGCACAAUGGGGGGAACCCUGAUGCAGCGACGCCGCGUGGGUGAAGAAGCGCCUCGGCGCGUAAAGCCCUGUCAGCAGGGAAGAAAAUGACGGUACCUGAAGAAGAAGCCCCGGCUAACUGCGUGCCAGCAGCCGCGGUAAUACGUAGGGGGCAAGCGUUAUCCGGAUUUACUGGGUGUAAAGGGGGCGCAGACGGCGAUGCAAGCCAGGAGUGAAAGCCCGGGGCUCAACCCCGGGACUGCAUUGGGAACUGCCCCGCUCGAGUGCCGGAGGGGCAGGCGGAAUUCCUAGUGUAGCGGUGAAAUGCGUAGAUAUUAGGAGGAACACCAGUGGCGAAGGCGGCCUGCUGGACUGUGACUGACGUUGAGGCCCGAAGGCGUGGGGAGCAAACAGGAUUAGAUACCCGAGUAU